AUCAAGCUGAAGAGUCCCAAAUAGGACGAAGUACGCAUCCUAAAU
rnacentral:hammerhead_ribozyme from 1 species